rnacentral:rRNA from 1 species
UGGGGAAUAUUGGGCAAUGGGCGAAAGCCUGACCCAGCGACGCCGCGUGGGCGAUGAAGGCCUUCGGGUUGUAAAGCCCUGUCAUGCGGAAAGAACGACCCUGAGACGCAUACUCUCAGGGAGUGACGGUACCGCAGGAGGAAGCACCGGCUAACUCCGUGCCAGCAGCCGCGGUAAUACGGAGGGUGCAAGCGUUGUUCGGAAUUAUUGGGCGUAAAGGGCGCGUAGGCGGUAAUGCAAGUCAGAUGUGAAAUACUCCGGCUCAACUGGGGAACUGCAUCUGAAACUGCAUAACUAGAGUACAGAAGAGGGAAACGGAAUUCCCGGUGUAGAGGUGAAAUUCGUAGAUAUCGGGAGGAACACCAGUGGCGAAGGCGGUUUCCUGGUCUGAUACUGACGCUGAGGCGCGAAAGUGUGGGGAGCAAACA